CCUACGGGAGGCAGCAGUGAGGAAUAUUGGUCAAUGGACGAGAGUCUGAACCAGCCAAGUAGCGUGAAGGAUGACUGCCCUAUGGGUUGUAAACUUCUUUUAUAUGGGAAUAAAAUGUUCCACGUGUGGGCUUUUGUAUGUACCAUAUGAAUAAGGAUCGGCUAACUCCGUGCCAGCAGCCGCGGUAAUACGGAGGAUCCGAGCGUUACCCGGAUUGAUUGGGUUUAAAGGGAGCGUAGGUGGUUUGUUAAGUCAGUUGUGAAAGUUUGUGGCUCAACCGUAAAAUUGCAGUUGAAACUGGCAGUCUAGAGUACAGUAGAGGUGGGCGGAAUUCGUGGUGUAGCGGUGAAAUGCUUAGAGAUCUCGAAGAACUCCGAUUGCGAAGGCAGCUCACUGGACUGCAACUGACACUGAGGUUCGAAAGUGUGGGUAGCAAACAGGAUUAGAUACCCCAGUAGUC
rnacentral:rRNA from 1 species